AAUUGCUGUGGGGCCCCAUCAAAAUUGUUUGAAUUGGGCCCCGCACUUCCUAAAGCCGGCCCUGUCUCUAGUUAACUCUGAAGAUCAGUCAUGGCAACACUGUUAACCAUUUCACUGCUUCCCAUUUUGCAAGAAACACCCAGUGAUCAUGGGAUCUUAGACAGAGCUGCAUCGCUAUAGUCCCAUGACAUUACUUCUUUGCACAUCCUCUGCUGCAGGAGGUGCUCCUGGCCUCUUCUCCACCAGCAUGGUUUUGCUGGCACCCAGGUCUGUUCAUUACACAGGGACCUCUCUGCUUUCAUUACACAGGCUGCCACAUGUUCCCAGGUUGGGGGAUUGAUCCCCAUUUACCCCGAAAAGCCAUGAAUAAAUGUGUGGUGUUAGAGCAAUGACGUCACGCCAGGCGGUACUGAUGACAUGACGUCACAUGGCACGGCACGGGUGCAAUGGCGUCACUGCACAGCAUGGUGCUUCCCGGGGUUUUCCUUUUUCCACACAUGUAAAAAAUAAAAAGUGCUGUGAACAGAUAUAUCCAGUAAAUUGCCACUAACCAGAAUCCUCGGAGACUAAAUCCUGGAGUACCUUAAAUGAACCAGACUGACGUGGUUGACUGGAUCCUUCCUGAUUGUCAUACAACAUCCUGUACACAUCAGAUUGAGGUACGGAGGUUGGUACUGGUUCACUGCAACAUAAACAAAGGAUCAGCAGCAGCAUUGCAGCACAACAGGAAUGAGGCAUGGGGUCAAGCAGUGUCUGAAGAGCAAAUUGUAUGCUGUUGACAUGCAACAGACUUCACCUAAUGGCAGACACGUGUUUUUAUGCUAAGAAUGGAAAGACAUUUCUUCCAGGUUUCAAUGUUCCAGCAAAAAAAUGGGUCUCUAAAUCUUGUCAUAUGGCAUGGUAAUGUGCUCAUUCAUUUACUUACACUGUUGCCUGCUGCUAGCAGAAUAUUGUAAGGCAUUUUGAAAGAAAUAAUUAGUGAAUUGGAUUAAAAAUGAAAAACAGAAAUACAUGAAUUCAGACCAAAGCUUCUGAAGCCAGAUGAAUAAAUCAAUUUAUCUGUAGAUUAGAGUGAAUCUUACAGUGAGAAUCUAGUUCUAAUAAUCCAGAUUAUACAGGAAACAAAGCAUCACAAUGCAAUCUCUCCAUAUGCUACUGAAUUUUCGAUCCAAAUAUGUGACAGAGUUAAUACUUUAAUGUUUUCAUAGAUAUUAAAUCUGUCUAUAGAAUUCAGAACAUUGUCCUUUUUUCAUUUUCCAAAAAUUUGGAAUUAAUUUAGAGCUGAUGAAGGAUACCAUGGCAUGUUAAAAAAAUCGUAGGUCAAACUUUUAAAAAACUGUAUCAAUCUUGAAGGCUUUUUUAUUUGUUCCCUGGUUUUUGAACUACAGUAUUACGAGUCAUGCUGUCAAGCUUUUUUCCUGCAACCAUGAAGGCGAGAAACUUACUUUUUUGUACAAAAAUGGAGUCUGAGAUUCUUAUAAACUAUCUGACUCCAGAAGCUGGGCUUCUAAGAAUAAUGCCAAAUAUGGCAAUGCAUGAAAUACACUUUUAAAAAUUGGCCAAAUACUGAGGCGGUUAUACUGACAGUAUAGAAAACAAAGCUCUCCAUUUAAUUGCACAAGACAGUGGACCAAAGACCUCAACUUUGUAUGUUUUCCAUAUCGUCAAGCCUGUUUUGGAAGGACCACAUUUAUAUGAUGUUAAGGCAACAUUGCUCCCCCACUCAGUUUUGGUCGAAGUCUGACAGCAUCCGGCUGUCUAAUCUAUAUUGCACCAAUCAGUCAUACCAUACAAGAAUUUUGAACUUGUAUGGUUCUAGUUAGAGCUAUGUUCAUUGCCAUGACAGUUGCAGAUUAAUAUCAAAGGUGGAUUUUUUGUGAUAUCCCAUUUCCUCUAAAGAUCAGAGCAAGACUAUCAUCUCACAUACUAUUAGCCAACAAACAACAGAGAGAGUGAUGACUUUGAAGAACUUGUGGUGGCCCUUCAAGAAAUAUAGACUGCGGAGACCAAAAUGUACACUUGAGCCAAACCUGAACUUAGGAGAACAGAGCCUAUUAAAAAUGUGAACUGUAACGCCAUGUUUUUUUGCUACUCAGCACUAAAGCCUGACUGGAUGUGAUGUAGGUCAAUAGAAGAGUCCAUCACAAUAGCAGUCCCUAUGAAUAAAGACUUCUCAAACUUUGUUCCAUCCCAGGAGCAGAUCAUCAGGGCUUAAAUUAUAGAGGAGAUAGGACCUUGUCACCAGCCCAAGAAGUCAAAGUCUGGGAAGCAAUCUUUGCUAGUCUCUGAAAUGCACAGAACAUGCACCCUAUGUGUGUCAUGGUAUUUCUAGGGGAAUUGUGCCCCCUGAAGCUGGUGCUCCCAGGCGCAAUGUCAGUUCAUCCUGCCUUCUACUAGAGCCUGUUUAAAUCACACAACCGAGCCCUUACUUUUUAAGAUUUGUGUUUACUCUCCAACAAAAUCUCCAGGCUGCUAAACAAGCUCCCUUCAAGCCACUGAACCACUUUGUCUUACUCCUCCCUUUCUCUUUAGUUUAUGUUUAACUCAUUUUUGAAGCAUUUUAUGCAUAUGAAAGUUGGUAUAAGGACGUAAAGUACACUUCAUCACACUAAUUUAGACCAUAGUUUCACAUUUUCGUGUACAGGAUCCUCUAAAAAUAAGUGGAGAAUAUAUAAAUGUAACUGUUUACAUAGAUCCUGCAGGUGAAACUAUGCAUAGGGUGACUGACGGGGAGGAAGUGCCAUGUGUGGUAGAAAGUAUUAAUGUCUUGGAAGGACAGGAACUGGUAUCAGUGUUUUUGGCAACACUAUAGGGAUUAUGUUCAUUAGUUGCCACAUUCUGUAGUCCUUUCUAUGAGUUCUAGGAGCUAUCCAAUGCCCAGAAAGGCACAUCCCUCAACCCACAUACACAUAUAAUCUGGGAUGUUUAGCACUGCCUAAAGUUUUUGUGUUCCUGUUUUCUAUAUUGCUACCCAAUAAAAUGGUAAUUUUACAAAAUAGCUCAAUACAGGAAUGAAACUUUACAAAAUGAUUAUGUUUUUCAGCAAAGCAUUUCAGCAGGUGCUUAAAGUUAAGCAUGUGUCUGAUUGGUUUCUUGAACAGGAUAUGUUUUUCCAAAUCAGAGCCUUUAUGGUGACUGAUACCAAACUAGGAAAAAUUGGUAAAAGUUUCUGUGUGUAUCCAUGAAAAUCAGUGUUGAUUUUUUGGACAUUUGGCAUGACUUUGCUCCCCUGAAAUUUUGUUUAAUCCGCUAAAUUUGAUAACCCUGUUAUUUUUUAAUAAAGUAUUAUUUUUUUAAAUAUGUUCAUAAAUGCCUUCAGGGAAAAAUAUUUGAGGAAAUAUAUCUUCAAGAAUCACUGCAAUUUCACAGACACUCAAUUAAAAUAAACCCAGACAUUUUCGUAAUUUACACAUUAAAACAACAGAGUUAUAAAUAUUUUACCCAGCUCUACUGGAUACAGACUCAUAAACAUCAUAUUCUGGGUGAUUCAAAUGGUUUCCCCCAAGUGUGCCCUCAAUUUUCAUUUGAAGCCAAGGAGGUUUUGCCAGGUGCCAAGACUAAAAGCAAAUAUGAAUAAUCUGCUAUGCAACAAACAAUGAGGGGUCAUGUUUUACUUUUAAUCCUUGCAGGCAUUAAUUUUUUGGAUGCGGGAAUGGAAGCUUAUUUAAGAAUCAUGAAUGACUUAAAAUCACGUUGUUGCAUAGGACACUGUCUUGUGCUCAAGCAUGGCAUGACAUGGGACAAAGAAUGGAUAUAUGGAUCUGUCCGAUUUAGUGCAGGGCAAUGAUACUCCUCUACUUAAUUCUGGUAUUUUAUAAUCAGAAUCAUGACAUCUAUCAAUACUUCAGUUAUUAAUUUACAACCACAAUUCACUGUUGGUUUUCCUGGCUAGGAAAGCCAAUUAUAAAUAUUUCAGUGGGGAAAAAGAAAAAAAGCAAAAAAAAAAAAAAAAAAAAA